rnacentral:rRNA from 1 species
AGCAGCCGCGGUAAUUCCAGCUCCAAUAGCGUAUAUUAAAGUUGUUGCAGUUAAAAAGCUCGUAGUUGAAUUUCGGGAUCAAUUUAUCGGUCGUGCCUAUGGUAUGAACUGGUACAAUUGGUUUCUCCCUUCUGACGAAGCAUGAUGUCAUUAAUUUGGUGUCGUGGGGAAUCAGGACUGUUACUUUGAAAAAAUUAGAGUGUUUAAAGCAAGCAUUAGCUUGAAUACAUUAGCAUGGAAUAAUGAAAUAGGACGUUUGAUCCUAUUUCGUUGGUUUCUAGGAUCGACGUAAUGAUUAAUAGGGAUAGUUGGGGGCAUUAGUAUUCAAUUGUCAGAGGUGAAAUUCUUGGAUUUAUUGAAGACUAACUACUGCGAAAGCAUUUGCCAAGGAUGUUUUCAUUAAUCAAGAACGAAAGUUAGGGGAUCGAAAACGAUCAAAUACCGUCGUAGUCUUAACCAUAAACUAUGCCGACUAGGGAUCGGAUGAUGUUAAUUUUUUAAUGACUCA